rnacentral:piRNA from 1 species
UGUGGGAUGUCGAAUCAGAGC